rnacentral:ncRNA from 1 species
CGUUUCCUUGCUGGAGAGAGGCCGUUGCAUCUGCAACCAUGCGGCGGCCCACCGAAGGAGCAAACCCCGAUCGUGGGGCGAAUCUCUCAGGUAAAGCGGACAGCAGGGGUGGC